UGGGGAAUAUUGGACAAUGGGCGAAAGCCUGAUCCAGCCAUGCCGCGUGUGUGAAGAAGGUCUUCGGAUUGUAAAGCACUUUAAGUUGGGAGGAAGGGCAGUAAGCGAAUACCUUGCUGUUUUGACGUUACCGACAGAAUAAGCACCGGCUAACUCUGUGCCAGCAGCCGCGGUAAUACAGAGGGUGCAAGCGUUAAUCGGAAUUACUGGGCGUAAAGCGCGCGUAGGUGGUUCGUUAAGUUGAAUGUGAAAGCCCCGGGCGCAACCUUGGAACUGCAUCCCAAACUGGCGAGCUAGAGUAGGGCAGAGGGUGGUGGAAUUUCCUGUGUAGCGGUGAAAUGCGUAGAUAUAGGAAGGAACACCAGUGGCGAAGGCGACCACCUGGGCUCAUACUGACUCUGAGGUGCGAAAGCGUGGGGAGCAAACAGG
rnacentral:rRNA from 1 species